rnacentral:rRNA from 1 species
AACGAACGCUGGCGGCAUGCCUAACACAUGCAAGUCGAACGAUGCCUUCGGGCAUAGUUGCGCACGGGUGAGUAACGCGUGGGAACCUGCCCUGUGGUACGGAAUAACUCCGUGAAACUGGAGCUAAUAUCGUAUGUGUCCCCUUGGACAAAGAUUUAUCGCCACGGGAUGGGCCCGCGUAGUAUUAGCUUGUUGGUGUGGUAACGGCCUACCACGGCUACGAUCCUUAGCUGGUCUGAGAGGAUGAUCAGCCACACUGGGACUGAGACACGGCCCAGACUACUACGGGAGGGAGCAGAGGGGAAUAUUGGACAAUGGGCGCAAGGAUGAACGAGCAAGGCCGGGUGAGUGAUGAAGGCGGUAGAGUAGUAAAGCUCUUUCGCACGCGACGAUGAUGACGGUAGCGAGAGAAGAAGCCCCGGCUAACUUCGUG